CACGACUAAGAUCUAGGGCCUGACUCCCGGUGUUUGCUGAUGAUUACUCAAAAGCCACAGAAAAAGAGGCCAUAUUUGAGCAUAAAUAGAAGUCUUAAAAGGGAAAUAGGAUCAAAUUGACUCACAUUUCUUUACCAGGGGGCGUUAGCAGCAUCCAAAAACACCAUCCUUGGAAUCAGGAGGGAGAAAGCAUGACCACAGCUUCAUUCCAUUAAGAGCUACUAUGUGAAAUAUUUACAGAUGAAAUGAUGCCAAGCCUGGGAUUUGCUUCAAAAUAAUCCUGGGUAUGCAGUGGAGUGAAGGUAAAACCAUCCCAUGAUGCAAUCAUUGUUGAAGCUGGAUGAACGUCAAUGGAAAAUCACUGUAAAGAUUCACAAAAAUUAAGGACAUCUCCCAAUGUCUGGGACUAAAACCAAACAGGGACCCGAGAAUCAGGGCUGAGCUGCGUUGGAAUCUUGAUCUUCUGGCAGAAAACCCUUCCAAAACCUUCCAACAUGACACCGCUCAUGUAUAGGUGUUCCAGACCGAAUGUCCAGUUAUUUCCACCAUUGUGCAAAAACGGGAGACCCUGCCGAGCAGCAGAUGGCCCUCAGCGAGGCUGACACUCAGGCCAGGCCCCAGGUGGCAGCUCUCAGAACACGCUGUCCAGUUAAACCCCGCACAGACUAGCCACAGAAAAUACCUGGUGUUCACAUCCCCCAAAGGUUGGCCAAAUGACAAGGGUCAAGCAGUACACUUCAUGGGUUAGUAGGGAGAACCAGCAUUUCAGCAGAAAUACGCAAAUCACUGGGUCCCCCCUGUCAAACAUUGCAAAUAUGUAGCAUGCUAAGAAAAAAAUCUCCUUACCUCUCAGAUUCUGUAUCACUUGGUUCAUCUGAGUUGCAACAAUGGACAAUAAAAUCUAAUAAGUUAAAAUAAGGUGUGGAAUGCUCAGGAGAAAAACAAAGGCUAGUGUUCCUCAUCUGAGUGAAUAAUUUCUCUCAGUUUAUUUUAGCUUUGCAAGUUAUUUGUGAUUAUAUUUUAAAUUGGAAUUUGUGCAUGUGUGAUUUAAAAUAAAAAAGGCAAUCAAGUCUUUCUGCCAAUCUAGGUGAUGUGAAAUUUAAUUAUGGAGCAGUUAUUUAUUAAAACAAAGGCAAAGUAAUUUUUUUACACAUAAUUGAAUAUUCCAGAAGAAAAUUUCUGAAAAAUCCAAAGGUCCAAAAGAAAACUUCUCAGUGAGAAUGUCUGUUUCAAUAAGAUACCCUAUUUUGUAGUAUUGGACCCACAGAAUUUCUAGUUAGACAUAAGUAAGUCUUGCCAGAAUUUCUGUAGUUCAGUUUUGCUGUCUGCAUCUAGAAAUAUGGAAGACAGCUAUGUUACUGGUUACGACUCCACAGUAAUGAGUAAUGAAAAUUCCUACUUAUCAUUUCUACAUCAACACCAGUGUGACUCAAAAAAAAAACAUGAUUUACCUGGCAAACACUCCUGUUACACAGAAUCCAAAGAAAUAAACACCUCAAUCCAUUCAGGAAUGUUCCUUUCCCAAUUAAGGUUUUGAUGACUGCACCUAAUGCUGACUUUUUAUCUUUUUCUGUUUGCAUUUUAAUUAAGUCUGUGUCAACUUUAUUUUUAUAAUACAGUAUGUUUGUUUCCAUAUCUUAACUUCUUAUCAUGGGGGUUCCUUUAAUAUUUAAUGUUUUACCUUUUUCAGUUACUGGGAACAUCUUGAAGCUUCUUUAUUGAUUUGCUUGGGUUGAUUUUUUUCUGGACUGUGAAAUUAGCCAUUUGGCAGUCAUAUUGCUAAUAUGCAAAAAGUUCUUAUUUCAAUUAUAAGAGCAAAUAUAACCCAUGAUUAUUAAGAAAACUGUUUUGCAAAUUGGCCCUUGUUUAUUUCAGAAUAUAACCAAGUACCACAGGCUGAAUUAAAUGCUUAAGAGCUUUUUUUUUUUUAUUUUGCGAUUUAAAA